ACAAGGUUGUUCCAACAAGUCUGAUACAGUCAUGAUAUAACAAGAAUGUUACAAGGUUGACGACACAAGGUUGUAACAAUAUUGUUAUAUCACGACUGUAUCUGACUUGUUGGAACAACCUUGC